rnacentral:rRNA from 1 species
AACGAACGCUGGCGGCAUGCCUAACACAUGCCAGUCGAACGAGACCUUCGGGUCUAGUGGCGCACGGGUGCGUAACGCGUGGGAACCUGCCCUUAGGUUCGGAAUAACUCCCCGAAAGGGGUGCUAAUAUCGGAUAAUGUCUUCGGACCAAAGAUUUAUCGCCUUUGGAUGGGCCCGCGUUGGAUUAGCUAGUUGGUAGGGUAAAAGCCUACCAAGGCGACGAUCCAUAGCUGGUCUGAGAGGAUGAUCAGCCACACUGGGACUGAGACACGGCCCAGACUCCUACGGGAGGCAGCAGUGGGGAAUAUUGGACAAUGGGCGAAAGCCUGAUCCAGCAAUGCCGCGUGAGUGAUGAAGGCCUUAGGGUUGUAAAGCUCUUUUACCCGGGAUGAUAAUGACAGUACCGGGAGAAUAAGCUCCGGCUAACUCCGUG